AGGAUGAACGCUGGCGGCGUGCCUAACACAUGCAAGCCGAACGUCCUGUCUCGCAAGAGGCAGGGAGUGGCGGACGGGUGAGUACCACGUGGGUCAUCUACCGUGAGGUGAGGAAUACCGGCGAGAAAUCGCCGACAAGACCGCAUAGGCUCGAUGCAAGUCGAGCAAAGCUCUUUCGAGAGAGGGAGCGCCACACGAGGAGCCUGCGCCCGAUUAGCUAGCUGGUGGAGUAACGGUUCACCAGGGCGACGAUCGGUAGCUGGUCUGAGAGGACGAUCAGCCACACUGGGAUUGAGAACGGCCCAGACUCCUACGGGGGGCAGCAGUGAGGAAUUUUCGUCAAUGGGGGCAACCCUGAACGAGCAACGCCGCGUGCAGGAAGAAGGUUUUCGGAUCGUAAACUGCUUUUCUCGGGAAGAGAAUGGACGGUACCCGAGGAAUCAGCCCCGGCUAACUACGUGCCAGCAGCCGC
rnacentral:rRNA from 1 species